rnacentral:rRNA from 1 species
GACCAGGCCAAUAAGAGCAUGCGGUGGAUGUCUCGGCGUUGAGAGGCGAUGAAGGACGUGGAAACCUGCGAUAAGCUUCGGGAAGCCGGUAAUCAGGCAAUGAUCCGAAGAUCUCCGAAUGGGGAAACCCGGCCCACCUUGGUGGGUCACCCGUACCCGAAUGCAUACGGUACGGGGGCGAACCUGGCGAACUGAAACAUCUCAGUAACCAGAGGAAAAGAAAGCAAACGCGAUUCCGUCAGUAGCGGCGAGCGAAAUCGGAACAGCCCAAACCGGACUUCGGUCCGGGGUUUGGACACCAACAUGGUGACCGAACGGUGUGUGAGUCGACUGGAAAGUCGAACCAAAGAAGGUGACAGUCCUGUAGCACACCCGAAGGAAUCCUAGGUGCACCAGAGUAGCACGGUGCUCGUGGAACUCCGUGUGAACGUGGGGGGUCCACCCUCCAAGGCUAAAUACUCCUCAACGACCAAUAGUGAACCAGUAAGGUGACUGAAUGAUGAAAAGUACCCCGAUAAGGGGAGUGAAAAGUACCUGAAACCGCAUGCUUACAAGCUGUGGGAGCCCGUUUCGGCGGGUGACCGCGUGCCUUUUGCAUAAUGAGCCGACGAGUUACUUUCUGUGGCAAGGUUAAGCUGUAUCCCAGCGGAGCCGAAGGGAAACCGAGUCUGAACAGGGCGCACAGUCGCAGGGGGUAGACGCGAAACCGGGUGAUCUACCCAUGGGCAGGUUGAAGGAGGGGUAANACCCUUUGGAGGACCGAACACACCUACGUUGAAAAGUGGGGUGAUGACCUGUGGGGAGGAGUUAAAGUCUAAUCAAACCCGGAGAUAUCUCGUUCUCCUCGAAAUAGCUUUAGGGCUAGCCUCUCGUUACAGCGAUCGGGGGUAGAGCUACUGGAUGGGGCUGGGGGGCUCACCGCCUACCCACUCUAACCAAACUCCGAAUACCGAACGCCUUUGUCGAGGGAGUCAGUCCAUGGGAGAUAAUUUCCAUGGUCGAAAGGGAAACAGCCCAGACCGCCGGUUAAGGUCCCUAAACAUGUCUAAGUUUCUAAGGAAGUCGGAUUGCACUGACAGCCAGGAUGUUGGCUUAGAAGCAGCCACCAUUUAAAGAGUGCGUAACAGCUCACUGGUCGAGGAAUCCGGUGCCGAUAAUGAUCGGGAAUAAGACAUGUACCGAAACCGCGGACUCGUAAGAGUGGUAGAGGAGCGUUCCUAUCAGCGCAGAAGCGUUUCCGUAAGGAUGCGUGGAGCGGUAGGAAGUGAAUAUGUCGGCUUGAGUAACGAUAAAUGGAGUGAGAAUCUCCAUCGCCGAAAACCUAAGGUUUCCUGGGGAAGGUAAAUCCGCCCAGGGUUAGGCGGGACCUAAGGCGAGGCCGAAAGGCGUAGUCGAUGGACAGCAGGUCAACAUUCCUGCCCCGUCAUGUAAGGUUGAUCCAGCGCGACGGAUCAUGAAGCUUUGUGGGACAGUGAAGCGUCCAGGCCCUUGAGGCCGAUGCAAGGUGGAUUGGUUCCAAGAAAAACCGUCUGGUGACGANCAUGACGCCCGUACUAAAACUGACACAGGUAGGUGUGGCGAAAAGCCUCAGGCGCUCGAGAGAACCGUUGUGAAGGAACUAGGCAAAUUGACCCCGUACGUUCGCAAUAAGGGGGCCCUAACCCACUNGANNNNNAGGGCGCAGAGAAAAGGCUCUGGNGACUGUUUAUCAAAAACACAGNACUGUGCNAACACGCAAGUGGANGUAUACAGUNUGACGCCUGCUCGGUGCCGGAAUGUNAAGGAAGUNGGUUAGCUUCGGCGAAGCUNANGACNNAAGCACCGGUAAACNGCGGCCGUAACUAUGACGGUCCUAAGGUAGCGAANUUCCUUGUCGGGUAAGUUCCGACGNGCAUGAAUGGCGUAACNACUGGAGCACUGUCUCNACAACCNACUCGGUGAAAUAGUAGUGGCGGUGAAGAUGCCGCCUUACCGUGGCAAGACGGAAAGACCCCGUGGACCUUUACUGUAGGCUUGUAUUGAUCACGAUUCUGUGAUGCGUAGGAUAGGUGGGAGGCUUUGAAGCUGGGAUUUCGGUCCUGGUGGAGCCGUUGGUGAAAUACCACUCUUUGCUUUGUCGUGAUCUAACCCUGACUCCCAUGAAGCUGGGCAGGGAACCGUGCAUGCCGGGCAGUUUGACUGGGGCGGUCUCCUCCUAAAGAGUAACGGAGGAGCGCAAAGGUCGGUUCAGUGCGGAUGGAAACCGCAUGUUAGAGUGCAAGAGCAUAAACCGGCUUUACUGCAAGACAUACAAGUCGAGCAGUCUCGAAAGAGGGCUCUAGUGAUCCGGCAGUUCUGUGUGGAAGGGCUGUCGCUCAACGGAUAAAAGCUACUCCGGGGAUAACAGGCUGAUCGCUCCCGAGCGUCCAUAGCGGCGGAGCGGUUUGGCACCUCGAUGUCGGCUCAUCACAUCCUGGGGCUGAAGGCGGUCCCAAGGGUUCGGCUGUUCGCCGAUUAAAGUGGUACGCGAGCUGGGUUCAGACCGGCGUGAGCCAGGUCGGUCCCUAUCUGCUGUGGGCGUAGCAAAUUUGAGAGGAUUCUUCUUUAGUACGAGAGGAUUAGGAAGGACGUGCCCCUGGUGCGCCAGUUGGACUGCUAAGUCCACCGCUGGGUAGCUAAGCACGGCAGGGAUAACCGCUGAAAGCAUCUAAGCGGGAAGCCCCCCUCGAGAUGAGAUUUGCAAGCACUUUUGUGCGAGAGACCCCUUGUAGACUACAAGGUUGAUAGGCAGGAGCUGUAAGGGCCGAGAAGCCUUAAGGUGACCUGUACUAACGGUCGAUUGCUUGAUCGUUCC